GUUUGGCCACUAAGUUAGGCUAGUAGCCAAUGAAACCAUAGUCAGGAGUCUCAGCUUCAAUUCUUAUGGAUAAAAGUGUAGGGUUCGGAAAGGUUGCCCAAACAGAGUUUGACAUGGCAGCCGCUGAAGGAGAGACCCCUAGAAACCUUUUCCUGAACCAGGACGAACCCACACAUAGAUCCAUGAAAGGGGCCAUUGUUGAAGCAAAAAUGGUUGAUUCUAGGAAGAGAUUGAUGUAUUUCAUAAGUAUCUUUUGCGAGGUUUUUUUUAGGAAUACUCAGAGC
rnacentral:lncRNA from 1 species